UCUUAAAGGACAUGUUGCACCAAAAUCAUAACUUAGAUUUAGGUUGUUAGUGAUCAUCCGAUGAUCCACCGGGAUUACUUUGUGACCUAUCUCUAA